UCAGCAGUCCCAGGGGCAGAGAGAUGUGGAGGCAUUUGCAGGAUAGGUCAGCCUCCACUGCCUGCUUAAUUGGUCACCACGUUUGGCCCUCACCCAGUUCUCUUUAGGUACCCCCAUUCUGUCCCUCUUGUCUGAGAAGGAAGCGUUUCUGUGUCCAGCAGCUGUCGCUGGGCUCUUGGGAAGGCUCUAGGGCUCCCUCGGCCAUCAUUUGUCAACUUCUCCAAUCCCCUUUCUCUCCUCCCUCAACCCCUCUUCAAAGGUGUGAGAUGUCAUCCCUGGGCACCACAAUGGAAGGAGAAAGAGACCCAGUGACAGGACUCAAAGGUCUUCCUUCAAUUCUGGGCAGGAAUCGAGAAUAAUCAGUGGGACAGACUCUUUGAUUUGUUAUACAGACAUCAACAAACUCUGUUUCCUCCCCAACCUCCUGAGCUCAAUAACUUUUAAUCAUUUUACAAAAUGAAUAAUAAAAAUAGAAAAAAGUCAAUGUGAAAAGAAUCU
rnacentral:lncRNA from 1 species